rnacentral:sRNA from 1 species
AAGGGACCUAGCGUAGUUCGGAAUUACUGGGCUUAAAGAGUUCGUAGGUGGUUGAAAAAGUUGGUGGUGAAAUCCCAGAGCUUAACUCUGGAACUGCCAUCAAAACUUUUCAGCUAGAGUACGAUAGAGGAAAGCAGAAUUUCUAGUGUAGAGGUGAAAUUCGUAGAUAUUAGAAAGAAUACCAAUUGCGAAGGCAGCUUUCUGGAUCAUUACUGACACUGAGGAACGAAAGGAUGGGUAGCGAAGAGGAUUAGAUACCCUCGUAGUCCAUGCCGUAAACGAUGUGUGUUAGACGUUGGAAAUUUAUUUUCAGUGUCGCAGGGAAACCGAUAAACACACCGCCUGGGGAGUACGACCGCAAGGUUAAAACUCAAAUGAAUUGACGGGGACCCGCACAAGUAGUGGAGCAUGUGGUUUAAUUCGAAGAUACGCGCAGAACCUUACCAACACUUGACAUGUUCGUCGCGACUCUAAGAGAUUAGAGUUUUCGGUUCGGCCGGACGAAACACAGGUGCUGCAUGGCUGUCGUCAGCUCGUGUCGUGAGAUGUUGGGUUAAGUCCCGCAACGAGCGCAACCCUCACUUUUAGUUGCCAUCAUUAAGUUGGGCACUCUGAAAGAACUGCCAGUGAUAAGCCGGAGGAAGGUGGGGAUGACGUCAAGUCCUCAUGGCCCUUACGUGUUGGGCUACACACGUGCUACAAUGGCAUCUACAACAGGAAGCAAUACGGCAACGUUAAGCAAAUCCCGAAAAGAUGCCUCAGUUCGGAUUGCACUCUGCAACUCGAGUGCAUGAAGCUGGAAUUACUAGUAACCGUGGAUCAGCGUGCCACGGUGAAUGCGUUCCCGGGUCUUGUACACACCGCCCGUCACACCAUGGGAGUUGGUUCUACCUUAAGGCAAGGUUUUAAACCCUUGACCACGGUAUAGUCAGCGACUGGGGUGAAGUCGUAACAAGGUAGCCGUAGGGGAACCUGCGGCUGGAUUACCUCCUUUCUAAGGAUGAGUGAAAGUAAAAUUUCACUCUAAAUAAUAUACAUCGGUAAUGUUGACCGUCCUCAUUUCUCUUCUUAAAGUAAUGUUUCCUUCUUGUAGGGCCGGUAGCUCAGUUGGUUAGAGCACACCCUUGAUAAGGGUGGGGUCGAAAGUUCGAGUCUUUCUCGGCCCACCAAAAACCUAAAUGGGGGAUUAGCUCAUCUGGGAGAGCGCCUGAUUUGCAUUCAGGAGGUAGCAGGUUCGAUCCCUGUAUCCUCCACCAGGAAACAUUUAGUUAUUAAAACUGUAAAUAAAAAUAAUUUAUAUCAAUAUCUAUAUCCGAACAUUAAAAGUUAUUAUUUAAUGUUCAAAAUAAAAAUUUGAUCACAACAUAGUUUAAUUUUCUUUAAAAAGAAUUUUUUUCUGUGCAUAAAUCAAGCGUUUAAGGGCGUGUAGUGGAUGCCUUGGCACUGAAAGCCGAUGAAGGACGUGAUAUACUGCGAUAAGUUUCGGGGAGCUGUAUGUAAGCUUUGAUCCGAAAAUUU